rnacentral:rRNA from 1 species
UACGGAGGGGGCUAGCGUUGUUCGGAAUUACUGGGCGUAAAGCGCACGUAGGCGGCUUUGUAAGUUAGAGGUGAAAGCCCGGAGCUCAACUCCGGAAUUGCCUUUAAGACUGCAUCGCUCGAAUCAUGGAGAGGUGAGUGGAAUUCCGAGUGUAGAGGUGAAAUUCGUAGAUAUUCGGAGGAACACCAGUGGCGAAGGCGGCUCACUGGUCCGGUACUGACGCUGAGGUGCGAAAGCGUGGGGAGCAAACAGG